GAUGAACGCUGGCGGCGUGCCUAAUACAUGCAAGUCGAGCGAACGGACGAGAAGCUUGCUUCUCUGAUGUUAGCGGCGGACGGGUGAGUAACACGUGGAUAACCUACCUAUAAGACUGGGAUAACUUCGGGAAACCGUAGCUAAUACCGGAUAAUAUUUUGAACCGCAUGGUUCAAAAGUGAAAGACGGUCUUGCUGUCACUUAUAGAUGGAUCCGCGCUGCAUUAGCUAGUUGGUAAGGUAACGGCUUACCAAGGCAACGAUGCAUAGCCGACCUGAGAGGGUGAUCGGCCACACUGGAACUGAGACACGGUCCAGACUCCUACGGGAGGCAGCAGUAGGGAAUCUUCCGCAAUGGGCGAAAGCAUGACGGAGCAACGCCGCGUGAGUGAUGAAGGUCUUCGGAUCGUAAAACUCUGUUAUUAGGGAAGAACAUAUGUGUAAGUAACUGUGCACAUCUUGACGGUACCUAAUCAGAAAGCCACGGCUAACUCCGUG
rnacentral:rRNA from 1 species